CUCACUGAGAAGAACAUAAUUAGCCGUUCCCUCAUGAAGGAUUCACAUAAUGCUGGCACAAAGAGUUAUGCUUGAUGGGGUGAAGACAUGAGGCAAGCUGAUCCUGAAAAGAAACGACCGCACAGAUCAAAGGUUUAUUUAGCAACUCACAAGAAGAAGGACGAUGCUAAUGCUAAAAAUAAAGAUAGAAAUAAGCGCCUGGAUCGAUUGGAGAAUCUAAUAACUGAACGACUAGAGUUGGCACAAAAUUUGAAUGGAAGAGUCGCAUGGGAAGGUGAUGCCCUGCAGGAAGUGUUAGGGAGAGAAAAGGUUGGACAAGUGCAUGGCAUGGGUUUGCUUCCAACUCCUAAGCAAGUCUAUGGUCGGACGCCACGGUAUCUAAAGAACAUCAAUAUGACUACAACCGAUGGAUCACCAUAUGAAGUUGAACAUGAUGUUUGGGAGGAAAUAGCAAAAGA